CAUACUCCCCUUUUCUUCCUUGAGUGACAGUGUCUUAGUAGGAAAGACCUGUCAGGUGUCUCCACGUAGACGGUGGGCCCGGGUCUGGCUGCAAAGCCCUUGAACCUGUGUCAGCAUCUGGCCCCACAGACUUCCGCCCGCCCCUUCCUGAGGCCACUGGGCCAAGUCACCUUCCCUAGCAAUUUCCUUACUGCUCUCCCUGGAGAUCUUUCUGAUACCUCUGAAAGUAAUUAGAAACAGCAGCUUCCCCUAGAAAUGUGUUCCAAAGCCCUGGAAGAAGAGACGGGAACCCCGAUGGGGCUAUGAUGCCAAAGUCCCUAAAAGACUAAGCAUUUGAAAUUGCUUCCUGAAGUAGCUGGAGCUCCAACCAUCUUUCAGGAAUCGCCAUUCUCCCAGCAGCGUUUGACUCCUGAUGCAAGAAUUUAAGAAAUGGAUAAAGAAGCUGAGAAGGACAACAACGAGAUAAAAAGACCGAUGACUAAAAAAAUCAAUUCUGACUUGGACAUUCUCUAAUUCCUUAAGAUUCUACAGAGGAGAGAGAGAGAUACACCAAGAGAGAGAAC